UACGUAGGGUGCAAGCGUUAAUCGGAAUUACUGGGCGUAAAGCGUGCGCAGGCGGUUUUGUAAGUCUGUCGUGAAAUCCCCGGGCUUAACCUGGGAAUUGCGAUGGAGACUGCAAGGCUAGAAUCUGGCAGAGGGGGGUAGAAUUCCACGUGUGAGCAGUGAAAUGCGUAGAGAUGUGGAGGAACACCGAUGGCGAAGGCAGCCCCCUGGGUCAAGAUUGACGC
rnacentral:rRNA from 1 species